GUGGGAGGGAGAGCCACAGGAGCCGGCCGUGCCACAAAGGAUCCACAGAGCCCCUCAGCAUCAGCAGGGCUGUCCCUAUCCUCUGCAGGUACAUAUGCCUUGCACAUUAAGGAGACAAGUUCCCCGGCUCAGGAAAAUGCCCCAGGACUGCACAAAGACCCCGUGUCAGGCCCGAGGGAUACAGCCGGGAGCUGAUAGAGACCUGCCUCUGUGGAGCUCACCAUUGCUACCUUCUACAUUCAGACACGACAUCCCUUUAGCCAAGGAGCAGGAGAAUGGAUGGGACUUGAGGAUGGCAGCAGAAAGGUAUGUCUGCUGUGGGUCCACUGGAAUGCGUGCACGGGCAUCAGAUACGCGGCCAUGCCUCCAUCCAUCUGUGGCCUGCUGUCACGCACGUGCACUCACGUUGGCUGUAUCUGUGACUUCUCCCAAAUCGGCCAGCACAGGGAUGUGAGCAUGUGUGUGAUUCCACUUAUGAGCGUGAGUGAGCAUGUGUUCAGGGGAAGGGGAAUUUAGGGGUAUGUCUCUAUGUGUGUUUUUUCCAAAUGCUUGGCUUUUUUCAAAAUGGCUUAGAGCACUACUGUCAUUUAUGGGGUUUAAAAUGUCAGAACAGGG